UACGAAGGGGGCUAGCGUUGUUCGGAAUUACUGGGCGUAAAGCGCACGUAGGCGGAUAUUUAAGUCAGGGGUGAAAUCCCGGGGCUCAACCCCGGAACUGCCUUUGAUACUGGGUAUCUCGAGUCCGAGAGAGGUGAGUGGAAUUCCGAGUGUAGAGGUGAAAUUCGUAGAUAUUCGGAGGAACACCAGUGGCGAAGGCGGCUCACUGGCUCGACACUGACGCUGAGGCACGAAAGCGUGGGGAGCAAACAGG
rnacentral:rRNA from 1 species